rnacentral:rRNA from 1 species
GGCUAAAACCGCCGCGGCGCACCCCGACGGUAGGGGAGGGGGACGGACGGAGAAGAAGAGAUAUUUCUUUGCACUUCGGCAUCGGAGGAGGCGCACUCAGAAAGGAAGAGUCGUGGUGUCGGAGAAGGCAAAGAGAGGAGAGCAGCAUAAGAAGAUUGUGCGGGUGCUACCGUCGGCGAGCGGCCCUGGAGGCAGCGGCCAGACCGGAGCACGAGCGGCCUCAGGACGUGAAGUCUGCAGUUCUAAGGUGCCGGUCAGGACGGCAAAGAACCGGCCUAGAGUGGACAAUCCGUAGUAGGGCUACGUACCACGACAGAGAAGCGGCCUGCCCCGUGCGGCCGCCCAGAACGCCGUCACCGACCGCGGAGGGUCGCCGCCGGUCGGCAAGGACGCCGUUCUGUUCUACUCCGACUGGUCUGCCCCGCCGCACGUGGGUCGUCCUUGUCUCGGCACGUCGAGCGCCGCAGCCGCCACGGCUAGGCUCCACAGGACGGCCGCACGCGGGUCGCCCUUGACUGCCUAGACCAACGUCGAGCGCCGCAGCCGCCACGUCUAGGCCGCACGUUGUCCGCCUCGAGCGCCUCAGCCGCCACGUCUAGGCUGCACCGGCCGCCCUCCGCGACGGCCGGCCCAGCCAGGCCCCAGGCUCUAGAGCCGAACCGCUCGGCAAAGAGAGCCGGGCGCGGUCUGAUCCGCGCUGCGCUCUAGGUAGGGCCCAAGCUGGCCUGCCGCUAAGCCCAAGCCGCGGAUAGCUCUGCGUCGUCGGGCCUUGAGCCCAGGCUGGCUAGGCCAGCCAGCCGACGUGGCCGGCCGCUAAGCCCAAGCCGCGGAUAGCUCUGCGUCGUCGGGCCCUGAGCCCAGGCUGGCUAGGCCAGCCAGCCGACGUGGCCGGCCGGCCCAGCCCAGAAACGGGCCUCCGGCGCCCUACCCGACCUAGUCGCGGCAGGCGAGCGGUCUAGGCUGCCGCGCAUACGCAGGGGACGAUCCAAAGGUCGGGCGCCCCACCUGGGGCAGCUCAGGAAGGGGCCUCCGGCGCCCUAGCCGACCUAGUCGCGGCAGGCGAGGGUCUAGGCUGCCGCGCAUGUGCAGUUCAAGAUCCCAAUCGUGGAUAUUCACGCGAGUAGUGAGGGUGAGAGACCCGCGGAAACAAAGGCGGAGGCGGAGGCGGCGGCGGCGGCGGCGGGUGAACAGGGGGUGCUCUCGAGGGAGGGGUGUGGCGCGGCGACGAGCGGCCGUACCGGAGCCGUCUCCCUUCGCUCCACAGGCUCGAGUAGCGGCCCUUGUCCUUCCUGCGGCGGCAGUUCCCCUUGAGCAGGAGCCCCUACCGCACGCUCGAGGAAGUCUCCCGGCUGUGCUUCGGGGAACUGCUCGCGGCGACGCAGUUCGUGCGCGAGCUCGAGUCCCUCCGGCGGUGGUGACGCCCAAAGGAAGGGAAGUACACGGUCCCUGGACUCUACGGGAACCAAGUAUGGGACCUGUACUUGCACAAAUGGUUCAACUUCCUCUUCCUACGGUGGCGGUGGUUUCCGAUGGGACGACGACACCAGGUCCCUGGCCUCCACGGGGACCAGGUAUGGGACCUCGACUUCGUCCGAUUGAUGGAACGGCGGUACGCAGUCCCUGACGUCCACGUGGCAUGGGACCUCGAAUUGUGUGACUUCGGGCGACUCAUGGAAAGGAAGUACGCGGUCCCUGGUCUCGGUGACUGCGAGUAGGGAACACGGGAACAUGCGUGCUAGGGAGCGACAGAAGGGGUCAGUUAGGGAUUCGUACACGGACGCGGCCCUUUGGACCCGUAAUUCCUACACCUCUUCUGACGCGAACUCUAAGUUCUGUUUGAGUUCGCCUUUCCUGGGCCCAUGAGAAACGCGAGGUAGUCCCGUUGCCAACUUUAGAAGUUCCUCUUGGUUCUCUGUCAACAACAAGCGUCAGUUAGAAACCGACUCUUCAAGUUCCGUACCCGUCUACUGUGGAGGUCCCCCAAAUGGAAGAUAAGCUAGCCCCUUUUCCAUGAAGUCGAAACCCUGUUCAUGAAGGGCUUCGUCAUUAAUGUCAGAUUCUAUACUGCGUCCUGGAACACAGUCUUAUACUAAACUCCAAUAAACAGAUCGAUACAAUAAAACAGACAUGCCAAACGAAACAAAAUCGACUCAUAACUAAUAAAACUCUUAAUGAGGGAAACCCUAGUUCAGUAUAAUCGGAACUGACAUACGACGAACUCUUGACGGUCUACUAACCUUCAUCUUAAAAACAUCAAACUAGACCUAACCGUUUACACUGGCAAAGUAAAAGACUUGCUCAAAAUCAAUCUUCAUAACAAGUUGGAGUCGGUAUACCACCUAGGAUUAACCGUCUUGUCGUUUGGAACAGUUGCGUUGACAGGAAUUAAAGUACCUGCCUAGCGGACGGCAUCAGGAAAACGCCAUUAACCAGAAACGUCACACUACUUCGUGAACAAGUUUGUUGUUACCUACUAUAUUUACUCAUCGAAGAAAGUUGGAGAGAAGGACUAAAAAUAACAAUAUUUUACCUCGUAAAUUGUCACGGCCAAUCGAAAGAUAAAGUACGUGGAAGAAUAAAUUGGUGAGGGAGAUUAUAUACUUAUCCGUCCGAUCUUUUACGAUGAACGAGGUAAUUCGGUGUAACAAAUUUACUCUAUUCAGUGGAAUAUACUGAAUGGAUUAAUUUAUAUAAAAGUGUUAUAAAUUCACUUGACUGUUACAUACUACCUUAAUAACAACGAAGCAAACUUAAGAAAACAACAAACAAGUAUGUUCUUUAUCACAUUCUCACCCACCACCGGUCUACGAGUCUACCGGGGGAUUAACGAUAUAUAACAUCCGAGACGAACGUUUUAAACAAGCCUAAGCGGGUUCGGGGCUGCUUCCUCCCUCCGCGGGGUGGUAGUGGUACCGACGGUUUAGGGAGGUCUAGCUCUCCGGCACUGGUGGUCUAGCUGUACCCGCUUAGGCGAUGCCAGCGGCGCUCACAAACUCGCGGUACCGCCGGCGGACCGGACGAUCGAACUACUCCCAACAGGAGCAGCGGCCACUCACCGCCGCCGCCUACCUCCUCACCCUCACCCUCACCUCUCC